AGUGAACGCUGGCGGUAGGCCUAACACAUGCAAGUCGAACGGCAGCACAGUAAGAGCUUGCUCUUACGGGUGGCGAGUGGCGGACGAGUGAGGAAUACAUCGGAAUCUACUUUUUCGUGGGGGAUAACGUAGGGAAACUUACGCUAAUACCGCAUACGACCUACGGGUGAAAGCAGGGGAUCUUCGGACCUUGCGCGAUUGAAUGAGCCGAUGUCGGAUUAGCUAGUUGGCGGGGUAAAGGCCCACCAAGGCGACGAUCCGUAGCUGGUCUGAGAGGAUGAUCAGCCUCACUGGAACUGAGACACGGUCCAGACUCCUACGGGAGGCAGCAGUGGGGAAUAUUGGACAAUGGGCGCAAGCCUGAUCCAGCCAUACCGCGUGGGUGAAGAAGGCCUUCGGGUUGUAAAGCCCUUUUGUUGGGAAAGAAAAGCAGCAGGUUAAUACCCCGCUGUUCUGACGGUACCCAAAGAAUAAGCACCGGCUAACUUCGUG
rnacentral:rRNA from 1 species